rnacentral:rRNA from 1 species
CGUGCAGGUGGUUCAUUAAGUUGGAUGUUAAAUCUCCUGGCUUAACUGGGAGUUGUCGUUCAAAACUGGUGGACUAGAGGACGGUAGAGGAAGGUGGAAUUCCGGGUGUAGUGGUGAAAUGCGUAGAUAUCCGGAGGAACAUCAGUGGCGAAGGCGACCUUCUGACCGCUCCUGACACUCCAACGCGAAAGCUAGGGGAGCAAACG